ACGAACGCUGGCGGCGUGCCUAAUACAUGCAAGUUGAGCGCUGAAGGUUGGUACUUGUACCCACUGGAUGAGCAGCGAACGGGUGAGUAACGCGUGGGGAAUCUGCCUUUGAGCGGGGGACAACAUUUGGAAACGAAUGCUAAUACCGCAUAAAAACUUUAAACACAAGUUUUAAGUUUGAAAGAUGCAAUUGCAUCACUCAAAGAUGAUCCCGCGUUGUAUUAGCUAGUUGGUGAGGUAAAGGCUCACCAAGGCGAUGAUACAUAGCCGACCUGAGAGGGUGAUCGGCCACAUUGGGACUGAGACACGGCCCAAACUCCUACGGGAAGCAGCAGUAGGGAAUCUUCGGCAAUGGACGAAAGUCUGACCGAGCAACGCCGCGUGAGUGAAGAAGGUUUUCGGAUCGUAAAACUCUGUUGGUAGAGAAGAACGUUGGUGAGAGUGGAAAGCUCAUCAAGUGACGGUAACUACCCAGAAAGGGACGGCUAACUACGUG
rnacentral:rRNA from 1 species